rfam:Triticum urartu cultivar G1812 contig835710, whole genome shotgun sequence.
AAGGUGGAUGAGGACGACAUCGUCUCUCAUAUCUUGGCUGGACUCGAAGAAGACUUCGAUCCGGUGGUGUCCGCCAUGUGCUCACAGGUGGAGCCGGUCACCGUUGCCGAGCUGUUCUCGCAGCUGCUCAGCUUCGAGA